CCUACGGGAGGCAGCAGUGAGGAAUAUUGGUCAAUGGCCGGAAGGCUGAACCAGCCAUGCCGCGUGAAGGUCAGUGCCCUAUGGGCGUUAAACUUCUUUUGUGCGGGAGCAAUAAUGGUCACGUGUGGCCAGACGAGAGUACCGUACGAAUAAGCAUCGGCUAACUCCGUGCCAGCAGCCGCGGUAAUACGGGGGAUGCAAGCGUUAUCCCGAUUUAUUGGGUUUAAAGGGUGCGGAGGCUGUGAGGUAAGUCAGCGGUGAAAUGCCCCCGCUCAACGGGGUGAAGUGCCAUUGAUACUGCCUUGCUAGAGUGCGGAUGAGGUGGGAGGAAUGUGUGGUGUAGCGGUGAAAUGCAUAGAUAUCACACAGAACACCGAAUGCGAAGGCAUCUCCCGAAGCCGCGAUUGACGCUGAUGCACGAAAGCGUGGGUAUCAAACAGGAUUAGAUACCCGGGUAGUC
rnacentral:rRNA from 1 species